rnacentral:pre_miRNA from 1 species
CUUGGCACUCUAGGAAUCGUCUCUAACAGAAUAAUUAACCCAUUUAUUUGAGACGGACCGAGUGUGCUAAACA